CCUACGGGUGGCAGCAGUGAGGAAUAUUGGUCAAUGGGCGAUAGCCUGAACCAGCCAAGUAGCGUGAAGGAUGACUGCCCUAUGGGUUGUAAACUUCUGAUCUAAGGGAAAAAGAAAGUGAUGGUACCUUAGGAGAAAGCCACGGCUAACUACGUGCCAGCAGCCGCGGUAAUACGUAGGUGGCGAGCGUUGUCCGGAAUGACUGGGCGUAAAGGGAGCGUAGGUGGCAAUUUAAGUUAGAUGUGAAAGCCCAAGGCUCAACCUUGGAAUUGCAUUUAAAACUGGAUAGCUAGAGUACAGGAGGGGUAAGCGGAAUUCCUAGUGUAGCGGUGGAAUGCGUAGAUAUUAGGAAGAACACCGGAGGCGAAAGCGGCUUACUGGACUGCAACUGACACUGAGGCUCGAAAGCGUGGGGAGCAAACAGGAUUAGAUACCCUAGU
rnacentral:rRNA from 1 species